GAGAGAGAGAGAGAGAGAGGUGUGAUUUAAAUACUAGUGAAAAUAAAGCAGCGAAGCCUAGGUGAACAGAGAUGUUAAGAAAAGAAGGCAGAAUUGCAACAGGUGAAUUAAUUUGAAACAAAUUCAACAAGAUUCAGUUACACAAGCAAAUAUCAAGUAAAGGAAAACUAGAACUCUAGAAUCCAUUGACUAGACCUUCACAACCCUAUGGUCUAAACCUUUAGUACAGAAUAAAAAGUAACCAUAUAUGUACCCAGUGGAACUGCAAUGAUGCAUUACAAUUUAAAACAGCAAAUGUACAAGUAAAACUUGCCUGGCCUAGGAAGGAAUCUUCGC
rnacentral:misc_RNA from 1 species